CUUUCUGUAUAGGUUGGGAUUGGUUGCAAUGCUGUACUAUUUAUGUAGUAUUGCACUUGUCCCGGCCUGUUUAGGAUGG
rfam:Xenopus laevis strain J chromosome 2L, whole genome shotgun sequence.